rnacentral:rRNA from 1 species
CCUACGGGUGGCAGCAGUGAGGAAUAUUGGUCAAUGGGCGAGAGCCUGAACCAGCCAAGUCGCGUGAGGGAGUACUGCCCUAUGGGUUGUAAACCUCUUUUGUCGGGGAGCAAAAGCCGGACGUGUCCGGCUGUGAGAGUACCCGAAGAAAAAGCAUCGGCUAACUCCGUUCCAGCAGCCGCGGUAAUACGGAGGAUGCGAGCGUUAUCCGGUUUUAUUGGGUUUAAAGGGUGCGCAGGCGGGUUUUUAAGUCAGCGGUAAAAUCGUGGGGCUCAACCCCAUCCAGCCGUUGAAACUGGGGAUCUAGAGUGUGCGAGAGGUAUGCGGAAUGCGUGGUGUAGCGGUGAAAUGCAUAGAUAUCACGCAGAACCCCGAUUGCGAAGGCAGCAUACCGGUGCACAACUGACGCUCAGGCACGAAAGCGUGGGUAUCGAACAGGAUUAGAUACCCUUGUAGUC